UAGGACGGCCGGGUGACCGCGCGGUGCACGAAUGUGCAUCUCGAGGAAAGUCCGGGCUCCGCAGAGCAGGACGGUGGGUAACGCCCACUCGGGGCAACCCGCAGGACAGUGCCACAGAGAACAGACCGCCCGCAGCGAUUCGUCGUCGUGGGUCAGGGUGAAAAGGUGGGGUAAGAGCCCACCAGCGCACCGGGUGACCGGUGCGGCUCGGUAAACCCCGUCCGGAGCAAGGUCAGACAGGAUGCGUUGGAGGGCUGCUCGCCCGAGCAUCCGGGUAGGCCGCUUGAGCCCAUCGGCAACGGUGGGCCUAGAUGGAUGGUCACCGCCACGUCACGGGUAACCGGGCGUGUGCACAGAACCCGGCUCAUAGGCCGUCCUGUCCC
rnacentral:RNase_P_RNA from 1 species